UAGUGGUACCAUCAAUCCUUCCGGCUAUUGACCGAAAGCCUUUUUCCCACUUGACAGAGCUUUACGACCCGAAAGCCUUCUUCACUCACGCGGCGUUGCUGCGUCAGGGUUUCCCCCAUUGCGCAAAAUUCCU
rnacentral:rRNA from 1 species